UGUCGGAGCAGCGAGCUAAGACCACUUUAAUGAUUCGGAGGGGGCCUCGGGGGUCCGGAGUCCAAAUGAUGAUUAUCACACCCUGUAAUAACCUCAGCUUUAUCAUUUCCCUUUCACAGAUCCCUGCAGCUUCCAAGGAGAGGCAUAAUCCAGUCAGGAUUUGGAUGGAUUUACUAGUUUUUCAGCAAAUAAACAUCAAUCCAUCCAAGGGAAGAACAACAGAUGGAUGACUGGAUAGAUCUGCGUGAACAGGCCAGAAUAAUCAGGUGACUUCCCAGGAUCUGAAACCGCUACUGGUGAGGAAAAAAAAAACUACUAGCAAUUUUAUCCAAACAACACCAGAACAAAGAUCUGCUGCGAAUAGAGAUAGAAUUACAGCACCCCUUUUCUGCCUCUCUAUUGAUUUAUCUAGUUUGCUUCCUGUUUUAUCAGCAUGUCUCGAUGUUUCUAAUUUAUUACUGUGCAGAGAUUGUCCCAUUCAACUUCUGAACACAAAUUGCAGCAAAUUCAAUUUAAGGCCUCCAAGUCUGAAAAGACCAGUUAGACUAACAUGGAAAAGAGCGCUAUCUAUGGACCUUAGCCAGGAUAGGUGUCAUGUUACAUUUUUCGUUAAAUGAAAACAAAUUUGUACAGGA